GUCAGAAUGGCCGAGUGGUCUAAGGCGUCAGAUUUAAGCUCUGGUUCUCGAAAGAGAGCGUGGGUUCGAACCCCACUUCUGACA
rnacentral:tRNA from 1 species